rnacentral:rRNA from 1 species
CAGGCCUAACACAUGCAAGUCGAACGGGAAGCGGUGCAUAUUUGCUUCGGUGAAUUUUGUGCCGUGGAGAGUGGCGAACGGGUGCGUAACACGUAGGUAACCUGCCCCGAAAGGGGGGAUAACCACGGGAAACUGUGGCUAAUACCGCAUGAUCUCGCCGGGACGAGAGUUCGGUGAGGAAAGCUGAGGCGAUUUGGGAGGGGCCUGCGGUCGAUUAGCUGGUUGGUGGGGUAAAGGCCUACCAAGGCGAUGAUCGAUAGCUGUUCUGAGAGGAAGACCAGCCACACGGGAACUGAGACACGGUUCCGACUCCUACGGGGGGCAGCAGUGAGGAAUAUUGCGCAAUGGGGGAAACCCUGACGCAGCAACGCCGCGUGGAGGAUGAAGGUUUUCGGAUUGUAAACUCCUUAACUGGGGGAAGAGGAAGGACGGUACCCCAGGACGAAGACACGGCUAACUAGGUGCCAGCAGCCGCGGUAAUACCUAGGUGUCAAGCGUUAUCCGGAAUUACUGGGCGUAAAGGGUGCGCAGGCGGCGAUACAAGUCUGGCGUGAAAGCUCCUGGCUUAACUGGGAGAGGACGUCGGAAACUGUAUGGCUAGA